CCUACGGGUGGCUGCAGUGGGGAAUAUUGCACAAUGGGGGAAACCCUGAUGCAGCGACGCCGCGUGAGUGAGGAAGUAUUUCGGUAUGUAAAGCUCUAUCAGCAGGGAAGAAAAUGACGGUACCUGACUAAUAAGCCCCGGCUAACUCCGUGCCAGCAGCCGCGGUAAUACGUAGGGGGCCAGCGUUAUCCGGAUUUACUGGGUGUAAAGGGAGCGUAGACGGCUAAUCAAGUCAGAAGUGAAAGCCCAGGGCUCAACCUUGGGAGUGCUUUUGAAACUGAGUAGCUAGAGUGCAGGUGAGGUAGGCGGAAUUCGUAGUGUAGCGGUGAAAUGCGUAGAUAUUAGGAGGAACACC
rnacentral:rRNA from 1 species